rnacentral:rRNA from 1 species
UACGUAGGGGGCAAGCGUUGUCCGGAAUCAUUGGGCGUAAAGCGCGUGUAGGCGGUCCGAUUAGUCGGCUGUGAAAGUCAAGGGCUCAACCCUUGAAUGCCGGUCGAUACUGUCGGACUAGAGUCCGGAAGAGGCAAGUGGAAUUCCCGGUGUAGCGGUGAAAUGCGCAGAUAUCGGGAGGAACACCAAUUGCGAAGGCAGCUCGCUGGGACGUUACUGACGCUGAGACGCGAAAGCGUGGGGAGCAAACAGG